GCUAGGUGUGGCACAGUGGCAUAGCGCUUGCCUGGCAUGCAUGAGGCCGCUGGGUUUGAUCCUCAGCACCACA
rnacentral:tRNA from 1 species